rnacentral:rRNA from 1 species
UGGGGAAUUUUGGACAAUGGGCGCAAGCCUGAUCCAGCCAUGCCGCGUGCGGGAAGAAGGCCUUCGGGUUGUAGACCGCUUUUGUCAGGGAAGAAAUCUUCUGAGUUAAUACCUCGGGAGGAUGACGGUACCUGAAGAAUAAGCACCGGCUAACUACGUGCCAGCAGCCGCGGUAAUACGUAGGGUGCAAGCGUUAAUCGGAAUUACUGGGCGUAAAGCGUGCGCAGGCGGUUUUGUAAGACAAAGGUGAAAUCCCCGGGCUCAACCUGGGAACUGCCUUUGUGACUGCAAGGCUUGAGUGCGGCAGAGGGGGGAUGGAAUUCCGCGUGUAGCAGUGAAAUGCGUAGAUAUGCGGAGGAACACCGAUGGCGAAGGCAAUCCCCUGGGCCUGCACUGACGCUCAUGCACGAAAGCGUGGGGAGCAAACAGGAUUAGAUACCCUGGUAGUCCACGCCCUAAACGAUGUCAACUGGUUGUUGGGAAGGUUCCUUCUCAGUAACGUAGCUAACGCGUG